GACGAACGCUGGCGGCGUGCUUAACACAUGCAAGUCGAACGGUAAGGCCCUUCGGGGUACACGAGUGGCGAACGGGUGAGUAACACGUGGGUGAUCUGCCCUGCACUUCGGGAUAAGCCUGGGAAACUGGGUCUAAUACCGGAUAGGACCACUGCCUGCAUGGGUGGGGGUGGAAAGCUUUUGCGGUGUGGGAUGGGCCCGCGGCGUAUCAGCUUGUUGGUGGGGGGAUGGCCUACCAAGGUAACGACGGGUAGACGGCCUGAGAGGGUGACCGGCCACACUGGGACUGAGAUACGGCCCAGACUCCUACGGGAAGCAGCAGUGGGGAAUAUUGCACAAUGGGCGCAAGCCUGAUGCAGCGACGCCGCGUGAGGGAUGACGGCCUUCGGGUUGUAAACCUCUUUCAGCACCGACGAAGCGCAAGUGACGGUAGGUGCAGAAGAAGGACCGGCCAACUACGUGCCAGCCGCCGCGGUAAUAC
rnacentral:rRNA from 1 species